UGCGCGCGCUCGUCGCGCUGUGGGACGCUCUGUACGAUGCUGAUCAGUUCGCCUCUGUUACGGACAAGUUUCGAAAAGAUAUAACCGAGAGAAAUGAAAAUGAAGACAUACGAUCGACAAGUGGCAUUCGGAAGAAGAGGGAUUGGAAAACAUCAACUUAUUACAAAUCGCCUUAUUCAGUGCGUUGCGAGCUGUGCGCCGGCAGCAGCGUGUCGCCC